CAACCAUCUUUUAAAAUGAUUAUUUAGAAAAAUGAGUUGCAGAAAAAAAAAGUAAUAUAUGUGUAUUGUGUAACGGUAUCUAUAAUAAUAUAAGUGUGUACAAAGUAGUGUGUAAACUACAAUGUCUAUAUAAAGUCUAGUGGUGUGAGCUUGUCUGAAUGUGUCUUGUCAUAAAGCAAUUUCAAUUACCUUGGCGUGUAAUGUGAAUACAAUUUUUA